rnacentral:rRNA from 1 species
CCUACGGGUGGCAGCAGUGAGGAAUAUUGGUCAAUGGGCGGGAGCCUGAACCAGCCAAGUCGCGUGAGGGAAGACGGUCCUAUGGAUUGUAAACCUCUUUAGGCGGGGAGCAAUGCCGGGCACGCGUGCCCGGAGGGAGAGUACCCGCAGAAUAAGCAUCGGCUAACUCCGUGCCAGCAGCCGCGGUAAUACGGGGGAUGCGAGCGUUAUCCGGAUUUAUUGGUUUUAAAGGGUGCGUUGGCGGAUUUUUAAGUCAGCGGUAAAAUUUCCGGGCGAAACCCGGGCCGGCCGUUGAAACUGGAGAGCGUGAGGGGAGGAGAGGUAAGCGGAAUGCGUGGUGUAGCGGUGAAAUGCGUAGAUAUCACGAAGAACACCGAUGGCGAAGGCAGCAUACGGGAGCCCGACUGACGCUGAGGCACGAAAGCGUGGGGAGCGAACAGGAUUAGAUACCCGAGUAGUC